UUCCUGAUGGUCCAGUGGUUAGGAUGCCGCACUUCCACUGCAGGGGUCCCGGCCCAGGUUCGAUCCCUGGUCAGGGAA